UUAAGUUCAGCGGGUAUCCCUACCUGAUCCGAGGUCAACCUUAGAAAGAUUUUUUCCCACCCCCGCGGGAGGGAGGAGAGAAAGGAGACCGUGUCCCGAGAACCCUCAAUCCGGUACGUGCUCAGUUAAGAAGCUCAGUGUACCGGGGGUCCUGCGAGGCCGCCGUCAUUGUCUUUAGGAGGGGUCAGUCGCCUAACCAG
rnacentral:misc_RNA from 1 species